rnacentral:rRNA from 1 species
UACGGGGGGGGCUAGCGUUGUUCGGAAUUACUGGGCGUAAAGGGCGCGUAGGCGGCCUACUAAGUCGGACGUGAAAUCCCUCGGCCUCAACCGGGGAACUGCGUCCGAUACUGGUGGGCUUGAAUCCGGGAGAGGGAUGUGGAAUUCCAGGUGUAGCGGUGAAAUGCGUAGAUAUCUGGAGGAACACCGGUGGCGAAGGCGGCGAU